rfam:Lactonifactor longoviformis DSM 17459 genome assembly, contig: EJ64DRAFT_scaffold00019.19
AAGAAUGAUAGAGGUUGCGCUUUUUAUGAGUAUUUUAUCAGAUGUGGCAGGCACAGAUGACGAUAGAAAAAAGGAAACGGCGCCGAAAGGGUGGGAACCCUGCAGUCCUAUACCUUGGGCAUGAAGUGAAUAAUUUCAUGACUGUCAUCGUAAGAUGGUGCGCUAUCCAAAGA